ACCACCGACCAGUCCUCAGCCGGCAACAUGAAGCUGGGUGGCCUCUGCCUCCUGCUCCUCCUCGCCGUCCUUCUCACCCUCAAUGCAGAGUUCCAAGCAGUUGAUGUAGGUAUCUGUGUGACGGAGUGCAAGGUAGACCAGGACUGUGGGGCAGGAAGACGAUGCACCAGCAAUGGAUGUGGCCGGGUCUGCUCCCCAGUCCGGCGAAGAGAGGCCUGCGAGCACCAGUGCAGAGAAGACAGGGACUGUGGGAGUGGACAUCAGUGCGUGAGGAAGGGCUGUGGGCACGUCUGCGCCCCCGUCCAUCAAGUCGAUGUAGGUAUCUGUGUGACGGAGUGCAAGGUAGACCAGGACUGUGGGGCAGGAAGACGAUGCACCAGCAAUGAAUGUGGCCGGGUCUGCUCCCCAAUCCAGCGAAGAGAGGCCUGCGAGCACCAGUGCAGAGAAGACAGGGACUGUGGGAGUGGACAUCAGUGCGUGAGGAAGGGCUGUGGGCACGUCUGCGCCCCCGUCCAUCAAGUCGAUAUAGGUAUCUGUGUGACGGAGUGCAACGUAGACCAGGACUGUGGGGAAGGAAGACAAUGCACCAGCAAUGGGUGUGGCCGUGUCUGCUCCCCAGUCCAGCAAGAAGAGGCCUGCGAGCACCAGUGCAGAGAAGACAGGGACUGUGGGAGUGGACAUCAGUGCGUGAGGAAGGGCUGUGGGCACGUCUGCGCCCCCGUCCAUCAAGUCGGCAUCUCAACCCGGUCUUUUCUCAAGAUGUAGGUAUCUGUGUGACGGAGUGCAAGGUAGACCAGGACUGUGGGGAAGGAAGACGAUGCACCAGCAAUGGGUGUGGCCGUGUCUGCUCCCCAGUCCAGCAAAAAGAGGCCUGCGAGCACCAGUGCAGAGAAGACAGGGACUGUGGGAGUGGACAUCAGUGCGUGAGGAAGGGCUGUGGGCACGUCUGCGCCCCCGUCCAUCAAGUCGAUGUAGGUAUCUGUGUGACGGAGUGCCGUGUAGACCAGGACUGUGGGGAAGGAAGACAAUGCACCAGCAAUGGAUGUGGCCGUGUCUGCUCCCCAGCCCAGCAAAGAGAGGCCUGCGAGCACCAAUGCAGAGAAGACAAGGACUGUGGGAGUGGACAUCAGUGCGUGAGGAAGGGCUGUGGGCACGUCUGCUCCCCCAUCCCUCAAGUAGGUAUCUGUGUGACGGAGUGCAAUGUAGACCAGGACUGUGGGGCAGGAAGACGAUGCACCAGCAAUGGAUGUGGCCGUGUCUGCUCCCCACCCCAGGGAGGAGGACUCUGUGUGGACCGCUGCCGAGGAAACUGGGACUGUGGGGCCGGAGAAGAAUGUAUCAGGAAGGGAUGUGGACGGGUCUGCUCUCCAGCCCAGGAGCCAGUGGUAGGUAUCUGUGUGGAUCAGUGCCAAAGACACUGGGAAUGUGGUCCACGGAUGCGGUGUGUCUCCACUGGAUGUGGCCACAUCUGCUCACCAGCCCAAGACCAAG
rnacentral:lncRNA from 1 species